rnacentral:rRNA from 1 species
UAUAACACACAAACCCUCUGGUUACAAUCUCAUCAGAUCUCAUAAGCUAAGCAGAAUCUGACUGGUUUAAUAUUUGGAUGGGAAACCAGUUGGUUAAUGUAAGAUAUUAUUU